UACGGAGGGUGCGAGCGUUGUCCGGAAUCAUUGGGCGUAAAGGGCGCGUAGGUGGCCCGGUCAGUCUUUGGUGAAAGCGCGGGGCUCAACCCUGCGUCGGCCAGGGAUACUGCCGCGGCUCGAGCACUGUAGAGGCAGGCGGAAUUCCGGGUGUAGCGGUGGAAUGCGUAGAGAUCCGGAAGAACACCGGUGGCGAAGGCGGCCUGCUGGGCAGUUUAGCUGACACUGAGGCGCGACAGCGUGGGGAGCAAACGGG
rnacentral:rRNA from 1 species